GCAAGGUUUAUUCAUGCUCCAAAAAACCCAAGCCUUUUUCUCUUCUCUUCUGCUCUCUCUCCCUUGGGGACAGCAGGUGGGAGCUUUCCAAGCCAGACAAAGGAGACCUGACAAGGACCUGUGGUGAAGGGACAAGCCCAAGGCAAGGAAGUGUCCGGUCACCUCUUCUCCUGGAGCAGGCAGCAGAGACCUGGACAGACAGGAGACAUCUUGCACGACUCAUCACCUGGAGCAGUGCUAACCAGGUGGGCAGCCCUGAUGUCAGGCAAGCUGUACGUGCUCAUCAGCUGGCCCGACGGCAGCCGGGUCAUCAGCAUGGAGAACAUCAAGGAGCCCCGCAAGCCCUUCCACCUCUACAGUGUGGGGGAGCAGGUCCUGGCCCGCUGCCCUGGCUUCAGUGGCCUCUACUGGGGUGUGGUGGAAGGCAUCAGUGAGCAGAAAGGUAUUUUGGAGAAGAAGCUGCUGGAAGAUCGACAGCUCCUGGAGAAGCUAAAAGAAGAACCAGCUGUCCACAGCAUGAUGCCGUCCCCACCAAAAAAAUCCAGGAAAACCUUUCCAAAAUGGACCCCAGGGAAUGCAUCCAGGAAACACCCCAGUGACAGGACCUGUCCUGCAAAGCCUCUGCUGAAGGUGGCUGAGGCCAGCCUGCCCCAUGAUGCCAGCAACUCCUCCAUCCUCAAGGACAGGCGUGUCCUGGGAAGCGUGGCAGGGAGCCCCCGCUCGCUGGCAGCUCCCCCACACCCAGCCAGUGCCUUCACCCCUCCAUCCUCCUUCAUCACCAUGGCCAUGCCAGGGCCAGGCACUUCCCAGAGUGAAGAGGACAGGGCUGGUCCAGCUGCAAGAGCAGAUUAUGUUGCCCUACCAAUGAAGAGGAAGUCAGAUGGCAUCUUUUCCCCGUGCCAGCAGCAGAUCUGUCUGAACAGCCGUGAGGAGCAAAAGAUUGAUGCUUUGCAAGAGAUGGAUGGCUUUGAGAGGGCUCACAAAAAUUUCAGUCCUGCUGAGGUGGAAAGGGUGGAGAAGAUGGAGCAGCUGGAAAGGAUGGUGCUGGAGCUCCAGCAGGAUGUCCUCUCUCUGAAGAAGAAGGUGCAGAGGCUGGAAUCCCUGUCCUUCCAGGAGGAGCCCCACCGACAGCCAUGUGAGGUGGUGGAGCUCUUCAAUGGCUACACCAAGGAGCAGCUGAAAGAGACCAUCAGGUUUGACCAGAAAAUCAGCACAGCCUGCAAGACUCUGCUCUACAAGCUCUUCACCUCUGACUACAUCCAGAGCCACUCCAUCACGGGACGCAGGGGCAACACCUUCCGCGAGGCGAAGCCCAUGAUGGACGAACGCUGCAUCAAAAUCAUCAGGGUGCUGCUGAAGCAGAAGUUUGGGGAUCACCUCAGUGACAGUGUGAUCACAGAGAAGAUCCAGAACGUGCAGAAAGCCCUGAGGCAGAAGUUUAAGACAGAGUGUCUCUGAGGUGUGGGAGAUUUGGUGUCUCCUCCUGCCAUUCCCGUGUGUGUCCCUGAGCAGCUUUCCCAGGAGAGAUGAGCUGAGCAGCUGCUGCUCAGUAGAUUUCCCCCAGGGAGCCAGCCCAAGUAAACCAUGUGCUAAACACAGCUCAAACACUGCCAAACCUCUUCCUCCAUUAACCAAGCAGGAACUGGGCCCAGCUUGGCUCAGUUUUUGCACUCUACAAGUUCCUUCCCAUCCAGCCUGUGUGCAAACCUCACUGUGGGUGCAUGGAAUCGCCUCUGUGACUCUGAUGAUGUGCUCAAAGGCUCUAUUUGAGUCCAAGAAUGGGUCAGGAAGGUAGCCCUCUUCCACACUGCAGAUAUGUUGGCUUUGGGAUAGGGAAUCCAGCUGCAGACAGGCUGUGUCACCCAAUGCAGCUUCUCUCUGUCUGCCUCUGGUUGCCUCAUUCUGCCUGUGGGACAAUAUUUACUCUUUCCUCACAGUGAAUGUUUUAUUUCCAGCACUAACAAAAAGGCAGACUCAUUAAAAUGACAUCUUAAAACAUUCAGAAAAAGAUAACUUGUUUUUUUUCUGUUUAUCUUAAUGUAGCUAUAUAGAGGAGUUGUCUUCCCUAAGAAAAGCCUGCUGAACAAGAGGAGGGGUCAAUUAAUGAACUUCCAAGGGAACCCAUGGAAGUUCCAUUAAUUUUCCUUUCAAGAUCAGAUUAUUUCCAUACAGGAGAAAUCUCUAACAUUUUUAUGACUCAAGAGUGAGGCAUGGAGGACAAAAUAUGGCCCAACUUUGCUUUGAAGGUAUAUAUCUUGUGGACACUGUCACUAUUAUUUAAAUACAGUAUUUUUAUCCUAGAUAAAAAAUGCCAAGUACAGUCAGUCCCUUUGCUGAGGGACUACAGAGAAGGUCUAGAAAGAGAAAUCUUUUCCUAAAUAAUUCAGAGCUGGAGUGUGGGUGGAUUAAAAUUGUUCUAAGUGUUAAAAGAAUGAGAUGCUGACACCAGUCCAGCACUUAACAGAAGUGCUGCAAAAUCCCAAACAUUCCCUUUUACAGAGGCUUCUCAGACAGGGAAUUGGUUUUCUCAGCUUAAUUUUUAAAUUAUUCAGGAAAAGAAAUGCCAGUGGGUUUGCAUUAAUCAAAACAUUUGGUUUAAUUUAUAUGUUUUGUUGUGUUUUCAAAUAUUUAAUUUCUUCACAGUUACAUGAGAAAUAAUAAUGCAAAAUAAAUGUAUUGGAGAAACAAGGAGCUGUUUUGAA
ensembl:lncRNA